AUACGGAGGGCGCGAGCGUUAUCCGGAUUCAUUGGGUUUAAAGGGAGCGCAGGCGGAGAUGCAAGCGUGACGUCAAAUUUCGGGGCUCAACCCCGUCUCGCGUCGCGAACUGCGUCCCUUGGUUGCGGGAAGGGGAGGCGGAACUCGUGGUGUAGCGGUGAAAUGCAUAGAUAUCACGAAGAACUCCGAUCGCGCAGGCAGCCUUCCGGCCCGUCAACGACGCUCAUGCUCGAAGGUGCGGGUAUCAAACAGGAUUAGAUACCCUGGUAGGCCGCACAGUAAACGAUGGACACCCGCGGUUUGGCCUGUAUGGCUGAGCCGCCAAGCGAAAGCGUUAAGUGUCCCACCUGGGGAGUACGCCGGCAACGGUGAAACUCAAAUGAAUUGACGGGG
rnacentral:rRNA from 1 species